CCUCCCAUUCCGGAGAAGAGGGAAGGCACCCAAGUACUGUCCACCAAUCCAGAGCUCCAGAAAAACCAGAUUUUCUCCCCUUUCCCCCCUGCUGCAGGAGCCUCAUCAUAGCAGGAAGAGCCGGUUCACCCUCAUCACCUCCUCUCUGGUUUGCAUAGGCAAAGAAAUGCAAAGCACACGCCAGGGAGGCGAUAAUUCCUUGGUGCCACCCCUGGCACAGGUGACAAGGUUUGGGUAGCAGCGAGCACCUCCUGCCCCUGCAGAGCCCACCUGGGGCUGGCACCUCCAGUCUGCUCCAGCACACCCAGAACCACCGGGCUCGUCCCCAGGACUGAGCUUUGCCCGGAGUUUUCCAGGCAGAACUGGGAAUGGGGAGCUGGGAGGAGCUGCAGCUGGCCCAGGGAAUUUUUGACGAGACUUUGUCUGCAAGGAAAGGUUCUGCUGCCACACAGGCUGUGGUGGGGAGCUUUGGAUGCUGCCAAAUUUUGUGGUUUCUGCUGCCUCCCAGAAUGACAAACAACAUCUCCAAAGCCUUGUGGCACCUUCUGUGUCCUGGAUGGGACCUGGGGCUUCUUCCUUCUCCAGGCAGAUGUAGAAGGAUGUCACAGAACCUCCUCUCAGACUUCACACCCGAGCUUUAAUGGCCUUUCAAGGGUCUAUUGUUUUCUGGUUUGUUCUCUUUGUGCUCAGCACCUGGCAUGUAGAAAAUGUGCUUGGAAGGACAAAUAAAUCAU
rnacentral:lncRNA from 1 species